CUGCGUAACAUAUUACGCUUAGGCCCGG
rnacentral:sRNA from 1 species